UAAUCUGGACUUCAGAGCAUGACUUUGACCACUCAUAGGAAACUGUUACAACAAUUGGAAUGCACAAAUGCCCAAACCCUAUGAACAUGAGCAUGGCUGGGGUUGGUGUACUGGACAGACAUAGAUCCCUCUGGAGAGUUGCACAACCACAGACUUCUCCACCAAGAGUAGGAACUGCCUUCCAUUGUGAAGUCUCUUAUUGGUACAGCAAGAACCAAAACAUGUACUAGAAUAUUCUGUAGUUAAUCCUAUAGAGAAAACAAUGGAACUUAAAUCUACGAAUAUUUCAUUUACAAAUAUGGUUUUAGUAGAUGAGAGAUAUACACAAACCACAUCAUCAGGACACAGAAAAAAACUAGUUUGCCUCAAGAAGCUGUAAGUAGUGAAAGGAAGGAGCCUCAGCAGAUACCUUGAAAAAACCGGUGGCAAGAACAGUAUCUUCAAAUGCUAAUAAAGGCUGAGAAGCACUGGAAUGGGUCAUACAUAAAUUACAUGUUAAUAUUGAAGAAUUGACAGCUUCCAAAAGAGGAAGCCUAAGAAUUCUGAUGGUGGCUGCAGAAUUUGUAAAGAA
rnacentral:lncRNA from 1 species